UUCCCUCUGGCUCAGAUGGUAGAGAAUCCGCUUGCAAUGUGGGAGGCCCAGGUUCGAUCCCUGGGUGAGGAA
rfam:Ovis aries breed Texel chromosome 2, whole genome shotgun sequence.